AUUGAACGCUGGCGGCAUGCUUUACACAUGCAAGUCGAACGGUAACACACCGCAAGCUUGUGACUACUGGCGGCCGGUGGCGUAAUGCUUCGGAAUAUGCCCGGCUCUAGUGUUUCACUACUCGUAAGGGUAGCUAAUACACCCUAAUAUCGCAGACUACCAGCGGGGGAACGUAAGGCCUCUUCGGAUUUUACGCGCCGAUGUCAGACUAGGUAGUUGGUGGGGUAAAGGCUCACCAAGCCCACGAUCCGUAGCUGGUCUGAGAGGAUGACCAGCCACACUGGGACUGAGACACGGUCCAGACUCCUACGGGAGGCAGCAGUGGGGAAUAUUGGACAAUGGGCGCAAGCCUGAUCCAGCCAUGCCGCGUGGAGGAAGAAGGCCUUCGGGUUGUAAAGUGCUUUUGUAGGGAAAGAAACGCAUCUGGUUAAUACCCGGCGGUAAUGACGGUACCGAAAGAAUAAGCACCGGCUAACUACGUG
rnacentral:rRNA from 1 species